AUCUUUGGGAGGAAAUAGUACUGAAGAUUGCGGUCUAACCAAGAUAGGCCAUGCUGCUCAACCACACACCAAACCACCACUUCCCAGAUCACACCCCUCUACCGUUCCAAUGCCGACCUCCUCAGCCCCUCUCUUCCUCUCGCCGGUGACCCUAAUCCACUCCUUCUCAAUCCCUUAAUGCCACUGCCACCUCCUCUACGGCCACACCAAUGGCUUCUUUCCUCCCGUCCUCCCCCUUCAUCCUCGUUCCCCUCCCCCGCUUUCUUUCUACUUCCCCUCACAAAUCCCUCAACACUCUACUUCUCCCUCCUCCCCGCUCUAACCUCGUAGACUCCGCCCCCUCAGCCCCUCCUCUCUCCGUUGGCGUCCGCGAGCAGUUCUAUCAAGUGCUCGAAGUCUUGCCUGACGGCGCUGCCUCCCCAAAAUCCGUCAGCCGCCGGCAGCUCCUGAAAUCCAGCGGCCUCCGCCUCCGCGACCUACGCAGCGUGGAUCCCUCCCUCUUUCUCAUCAACUCUUCCCCUUCUCUACUUGUCCGCGACCACGCCCUUCUCCUCAAUUUCGGCUCCCUCCGUGCCAUCGCCAUGCCCGAUCGCGUCUUCCUAUUUGACCAUCACCGCCGCGGCGCCUCUGCCUUCCUCCGCUUCCUACUCCCUCGCCUCUCCGGCGCCGCCAUGCCCUUCGAGGUCGAGGUCAUCGAGGCCGCCCUGAUCUCCCGGAUCCAGCGUCUCGAGCAGUGCCUCCUGGCCGUGGAGCCUCGCGUAGCCGAGCUGCUUGACCUAUUGCCCAACCGACUCACUGCUGACGUCCUCGAGGAGCUCCGACUCAGCAAGCAGACCCUUGUCGAGCUCGGAUCCCGCGCCGGCGCGCUGAAGCAGAUGCUGCUCGAUCUGCUCGAGGAUCCGCAGGAGAUCCGCCGCAUCUGCCUAAUGGGAAGGACCGGAUGCGUGCUACGCAGAGGGGAGGAGGGCAGGAUCGAGUGCGAGGCAGCGGUAGAGAGGCAGGUGGCCGAGGAGGAGGAGGAGGAGAUCGAGAUGCUGCUUGAGAACUAUCUGCAGCGAUGUGAGUCCUGUCACGGGCAGGCUGAGCGGUUACUGGAUUCCGCAAGGGAGAUGGAGGAUUCGAUUGCAGUUAAUUUGAGCUCGAGGAGGUUAGAGGUGAGCAGGGUGGAGCUGUUGCUCCAGGUGGGGACUUUCUGCGUUGCCGUCGGUGCGCUUGUGGCGGGUAUUUUUGGGAUGAAUUUGAAAUCGUACUUGGAGGAGCAUGUCUUUGCCUUUUGGCUGACGACGGCCGGGAUUUUGGUCGGCGCCGCUGCUGCCUUCUUUAUCAUGUAUUACUAUUUGAGGGCGAGGAAGAUAUUAUAGCCAUGAUUGGAAAGAAGCGAGCUGGAGUUGAAUGUUUUCCUUUCUUGCAUGGGAGGAUUAAUCUUGGUGCUCUCGAGAGUCCUUUUUCUUACUGCUCAAGAGUGAAGCCAAAGAACGGGCAAUCUUUCCUGCUCCAAAAGAAAGGAAAGGCCUAAACAACUUACAUGGAAAUUGUCCAAUUGAAGGGGAGGUGGAGUGGCUCCUACAAAAUGGAUAAAAUAAGGCCUACCCCUUAUAUGAAAAUGUAGAGAAUAGCAAGCUUGGACUGAGUGAAAGAAGCUCCAAAGACAAUAUCAAAUUAUCUACACGGUAUGCUUCAAGGAAUUGCUUAUCUGCAAGUGCUGCUAUGCUUGCAGAUGUUGAUUCUUUCAAUUUUUCUGUUGAUGUUUGAAAGAUUUAUGCAGACAAGUGCAUACCUAUAUGGCUUGUGACAUUUAACUGUAACUUAUUCUAGACGCGGAUUUGAGGAAGCCAUUUUCAUUUCAAUAUGUUGCUUGACAUUAUGUGGUAUAAACUGCACUUUUAGCAAUGUUUGUCAUUUAGAGCCUAUGAAA